rnacentral:rRNA from 1 species
CCUAUGGGUGGCAGCAGUGGGGAAUAUUGGACAAUGGGCGAAAGCCUGAUCCAGCAAUGCCGCGUGUGUGAAGAAGGUCUUCGGAUUGUAAAGCACUUUCGUCGGGGACGAUGAUGACGGUACCCGUAGAAGAAGCCCCGGCUAACUUCGUGCCAGCAGCCGCGGUAAUACGAAGGGGGCUAGUGUUGCUCGGAAUGACUGGGCGUAAAGGGCGCGUAGGCGGUUUAUGCAGUCAGAUGUGGAAUCCCCGGGCUUAACCUGGGAACUGCAUUUGAAACGCAUAGACUAGAGGUCGAGAGAGGGUUGUGGAAUUCCCAGUGUAGAGGUGAAAUUCGUAGAUAUUGGGAAGAACACCGGUGGCGAAGGCGGCAGCCUGGCUCGAUACUGACGCUGAGGCGCGAAAGCGUGGGGAGCAAACAGGAUUAGAUACCCCCGUAGUC